rnacentral:lncRNA from 1 species
CCUGUCGAUCACCACCCUGGCGUCCACGACGCUCCCUACCUCGCUGAAGAAGGACUGGAGGCCUUGGUCAUCGACGCUCCAUGAGAGGUUGCCGACGUAGACCCGGUUCGUCGAGUCAGAUUCGGACCCAUUUCUGAACCUCCUCGGAGGUGGCCCGUCUCUGCUCGGAGGCGGCCCGGAGUUCACCCUCAGCGGCCUUCCCUGAAUCUCCUGUGAGAGGCGUCCAAUUCAUCGUGAAACUAUGACGGCGAAGGAAGAGGCCGAAGAUAAUCAAUGCUCAGGUGUCGGCUUGGUCCGGAAAACAUGCAAGACCAGUAGGCUAUGGACUACCCAUCUAGACCCCCGAUCAAACCAGGGCUUGCCCCGUUGAAGGAUCGGGCCUGUGCAGUGAAAUCUAGUCCUCGUCCACAGCCAAAUGCAGAAGACCAAGGCAACAAUAGACAGACGAUGCGCAGAACAAGAAAAAAUUAUCUGGGCAAGUAGAACAUUGGGAAAUGAAUUCUUGUGCGAGUAGAUGAUGAACAAGGAGAAGAUGAUCAGCGGCGCUUUCCCGGUAGCAUAUCGUUCAAAGGAAAAACAAAAAAUUACUGGAAUGCGAAAUAGACACUUGUAAUCCCUCCCCCUCCCCCACCUUUGAGAGAAAUGGGUUCGAUCGUCGCCGCCACACGAAGAUAAUUCAUCAAAUCAGAAAGAGAAGGAAUUACGUCGAGGGAAUUGAAUGCGAGCGAUUUGCAUUCAUAUGGCCGAUGUUCUACAGCUCGUAUCAUUCAUUCCGCAGAUUUCGAAGCAGAGUAUAACUUUCUGGUUCCUCGAAAGUAAUGCAUAAAUCAAACCGCGGAAAUUUAAUUCGCUUUUGCACGAUGAAGACGAGUCGGCGAACGUGGAAUGGUGGCGAGAUGGCGAAUUAGAUGGAAAAUGGAUAGAAUUAUAGGGUAGAGCUUGGCAUGGUAGGGAGUGGCGAGGGAAGAGAGGAGCGGGGAGUGCAGAGGAGAGGGCGGGGAGUGCAGAGGAGAGGGAGACUCACGUAGCCGCUGAACAAAUCGACGGCAGCUUCAACCUCCUCGACGGUGGAC